UGGGAAAAAUUUAAAAAUUUAUAAAUAAAAAAAAUAAUUUUAAUUUAAAAAUAUUUUAAGGGGGUUAAAGUAUUAUUUAAAGAAAAAAUUUAAAUUUUUAUAGGGGAAAGUAUUGUAAAAUAAAAUUUAAAUAAGUUUGAAAAUAAAUUAAUUUAAAAGUAAUUUUUAUUUAAUGUAUCUUGUGUAUCAGAGUUUAUUAAUUAAAAUAUUUUAAAUAAAAUAUUCUCGAAUUUAUAAGAGUUAAUUAAUUAUUAAAGUUAUUGUUAAAUAAAUAUUUUAAAUAGUUAAUUUGAAAUGAAACGUUAAUCGUUUAUAAAGAUAUCUAGUUUUUUUAGAAAAAAAUUUAAUUUUAUAUUUUUUAAAAUUUUUAUUUAUUUUUUAAUAAAAAUUUUUUUAUUUAUAAUAUUUUAGGGGAUAAACUUUAAAAUAAAUUUUUAUAAUUAAUUAAAAUUUUUAAUAAAAAUUAUAUUAUUUAAAUUUUAAAUAAAAUUUAAUUUGUUAUAAAAAAUUUUAUUAAAAAAAAAAUUUAAUUUGAAAUUUAAUUUUUUAUAAAAAUAUUUAUUUUAAUUUGAAAAAUAAAGUGAUAAUGAUAAAAUUAGUAUAUAAAUUUUUAAUAAUUAAAUUUUUUUAAAAAUUUAAAUUAAGGAAUUCGGCAAAAAUUUAUAUUUACCUGUUUAUUAAAAACAUGUCUUUUUGAUUUAAUUUAAAGUCUGGUCUGCCCACUGAAUUUAUUUGAAGGGCUGCAGUAUAUUGACUGUACAAAGGUAGCAUAAUCAUUAGUCUUUUAAUUGGAGACUUGUAUGAAUGAUCGGAUAAAAUAUAAACUGUCUCAAUUUAAUUUAUAGAAUUUAAUUUUUUAAUUAAAAAGUUAAAAUAAUAUUAAAAGACGAGAAGACCCUAUAGAGUUUUAUAUUGAUAUUUAUUGAAAUUAUUUUUAAGAAAUUAAAUAAAAAAAUAAAUUUUGUUGGGGUGAUAGAAAAAUUAAAUAAACUUUUUUUAAAAUUAUUCAUAAAUAAAUGUAUAUUUGAUCCUAAAUUUUAGAUUAUAAGAUUAAAUUACCUUAGGGAUAACAGCGUAAUUUUUUUUUUUAGUUCUUAUAAAAAAAAAAGUUUGCGACCUCGAUGUUGGAUUAAGAUAAAAUUUAGGUGUAGAAGUUUAAAAUUUUGAUCUGUUCGAUCAUUAAAAUCUUACAUGAUCUGAGUUUAAACCGGUGUGAGCCAGGUUGGUUUCUAUCUUUAAAAAAAUUUAAUAUUUUAGUACGAAAGGAUUUGAUAUUAGAAAUAAUUUUUAUUUUAAGAAUAUUAAUAAAUAAUAAUAA
rnacentral:rRNA from 1 species